rnacentral:rRNA from 1 species
UGGGGAAUAUUGCACAAUGGGCGCAAGCCUGAUGCAGCAACGCCGCGUGAGGGACGACGGCCUUCGGGUUGUAAACCUCUUUUGGCAGGGAAGAAGCGAAAGUGGCGGUACCUGCAGAAAAAGCACCGGCUAACUACGUGCCAGCAGCCGCGGUGAUACGUAGGGUGCAAGCGUUGUCCGGAAUUAUUGGGCGUAAAGAGCUCGUAGGCGGUUUGUCGCGUCUGCUGAGAAAACCCGAGGCUCAACCUCGGGCCUGCAGUGGGUACGGGCAAACUAGAGUGCGGUAGGGGAGAUUGGAAUUCCUGGUGUAGCGGUGGAAUGCGCAGAUAUCAGGAGGAACACCGAUGGCGAAGGCAGAUCUCUGGGCCGUAACUGACGCUGAGGAGCGAAAGCAUGGGGAGCGAACA